CCAAUAGCGUAUAUUAAAGUUGUUGCAGUUAAAAAGCUCGUAGUUGAAUUUCGGGGUUCUACCGUUGGUCGGGCUAUUGUCUGUACUGGUGUGUAGAAUUUCUACCUUCUGGGGAACCAUCAUGUUAUUAAUUUAGCGUGGUGGGAAACCAGGACCUUUACCUUGAAAAAAUUAGAGUGUUCAAAGCAGGCUUACGUCUGAAUACAUUAGCAUGGAAUAAUAAAAUAGGACGGUGGUCCUGUUUUGUUGGUUUCUGAAUCACCGUAAUGAUUAAUAGGGAUAGUUGGGGGCAUUAGUAUUCAAUUGUCAGAGGUGAAAUUCUUGGAUUUAUUGAAGACUAACUUCUGCGAAAGCAUUUGCCAAGGAUGUUUUCAUUAAUCAAGAACGAAAGUUAGGGGAUCGAAGACGAUCAGAUACCGUCGUAGUCUUAACCAUAAACUAUGCCGACUAGGGAUCGGACGAUGUUAAUUUUUCUUGACUCGUUCGGCGCCUUACG
rnacentral:rRNA from 1 species